GCCUGCAGCGAGGCCACGUCGGCGCGCAUCUCCUCCAGGUCGCGCUUGAGCUUGGCGCGGCGGUUCUGGAACCAGGUGAUGACCUGAGCCGUGCUCAGCGCCAGCCGCUGCGCCAGCUGGUCGCGGUCGGCCGGGGAGAGGUACUUCUGGUAGAGGAAGCGCUUCUCCAGCUCGUAGAUCUGCUGGUUGGUGAACGCCGUCCGCGAUUUGCGCCGCUUCUUGGAGGCCGGGCGGUGCCCGAAGGCGCCCAGCGGCUCCCGACCUGCGGGGACACGGCGUCAGCGCGGCUGCCCCCGGCCUCGGUGCAACCCCCCCCCCCCCGGGCCCCCCCCCCCCCCCCCCGGCCCCGCCGCCCCCCGGCCCCUUCCCGGCCGAGAAACGCCGAGCCGUGCCCAACCGAGCCGUGCCCAACCGAGCCGUGCCCAACCGAGCCGAGCCGUGCCGAGAGGUGCCCGACGGGGCCGCGCUGCGUUUUGCUCAGCCGUGCAAAGCGAACCGAAACGAGCCGUGCCGAGCCGUGCCGUGCCGAGGCGUGCAGAGCCUUGCAGUGCCGAGCCGAGCCCCGUGCCGUGCCGUGCCCGGUGCCCGUGGCUCCGCACGGAGCCCAGUGCCCAGCCGCGGGUUCCCGGGGCUCCCGGCCCGCUCCGCCCGCUUCCCCCGCCGCUCCACAGCGGCCCCGACCCGGGCCGAGCCGCCGCCCGCCGGCUCCUCGCCGCGCCGGGCCGAGCCCACCCGUGUCCCGGGGUCCCACAGCCGCUCCGUUCCCCCCGUCCCGGCCCGGCGGAGCGUUCCGGGGCUCCGGUCCGGUCUCUCCUCGCCGGCGGCUCGCCCCCGAUCGUGCGUCCCGGAGCGCUGCCGCGGCCGGGCCGGGCUCGCCCCCGACCGUCCCGCGCUGCCGGUUGUCCUUUCGCUUCAGCGGCUUUAGGAGCACCCGCUCCCGGCGGGCCCGGCCCGGGGGACCGCCCUCAGAGCGUUCCGGUUACCGGCGGCCCGGUGCCCCGCGGCCGGUGUGCGGUGUGAGUCGGUGCCGGCCGCGCCGAAGCUCCGAGGCCCCGACAGACCGCGCUCAGCGGCUGCUCCCGGAACCCCGCUCUGCCCAUCCGGGUGAGGAUUUCGUUGUUAAUUACGAGAACUCCGAUCUGCACCUCCGUGUCCGUGUGUCCGUCCGGAUAAAGGCUUUUUUCGUUAAUUUCGGAACCACGCGCUGCCCGGCUUCUGUCCGUGUGUCCGUCCGGGUAAGGGCUUUUAUUUUUUCGAUAAUUACGGAGCCCCGAGCUGUCCCGUUUUCGUCCGUGUGCCCUUCCGGGUACGUUUUUGUUUUCCCCGUUAAUCACGGGAGCCCGCUCUGCCCGUCCCCGGCGUUUCUUUUCGUCAGCUCCGAGAGCCGCGCUCUGCCCGCCGGUGUCCGCCCCGUAACGGCCUGUGUCGGACCGGGGCUGCCGGGAGCCCGGGGCCGCCCGGGGCGUUCGGAGGAGCCACGGCCGGGCCGGGCCCCGCCGGCGACGUGGCUGAGCGGCCGGGCUGCCGCCGCCCGCGGGGCCCGUUCCCAGCCGGGAGACGCGCGGCCAUUUCCAGCCCCGCGGGGCCGCCUCUGCCGGUACCGGGUGCGAGCGGCCGCCGGGGCCGGGAGUCCGCGCAAACGGGAUUUCUGCGCUACAAACGAGGAUCGCGGCCGGGGCCGGCGGGUCCGCUCGGAACGCGGCGAGGGACCCAGCCCCGCUCCGGGGGGCGGAAAAGCCGCGGCCCGGCGCGGGUUUUCGUUAAAGGUUUUGGUUACCGACGGGAGCGAGCCGGCCGCUGCCGGUCUGCCCGAGCGCUCGGUAACGGAUCCACACCCUCCGCGGGGCCGGUGCCUCCGUUUUAAGGCUGGGGCCGCCGGCGGGACGGAUCUCGUGCUCUCUGCGGCGCGGACGCCGCGGCCCGGCCCGGUACCCGGCUCGUUAUGUGCGGCUCCCGGUAAAGGCGCCGGGGCCCGGCUCUCCCUCCCGCCGCAGCGUUUUGCGGAGCUCGCGCUCCCGCUGACGCCGGGCGCUGAGGGCCCGGUACCGGGCUCUGACCUCGCCCGUCCCGGAGCUCCCUCGGCGCGGCUCGGUCGGUGCGCACGGCGGGGGUUCGCUGGGCCCCCCCGGGCCGGCCCCGGCCUCUGCCUCCCUCCGGGCCACGGCUCCGUGGAGCGGUAACGCCGCGCCCGGUCCUCGCUGCGGGCACGCUCCGGGCCCUCCCGGGCCGCCGCCGUCCUCCGGGCUCUGUCCGGCGCCGCGGCCCCGCUCUCCCGGUGCGGACAUGAACCAAACUUACCGGAGCCGCCGGGCCGCGCCGCGCCGGGCGGGAGGCGAGGAGGGACCCCGGAGGCGGCCCAGGCCCGGCCCGCCUCGGGACCGUGUCCGCCGCCCG
rnacentral:lncRNA from 1 species